UACAGAGGGCUCAAGCGUUGUUCGGAUUCAUUGGGCGUAAAGGGUGCGUAGGCGGCGCUGUAAGUCGGGGGUGAAAUUUCGGAGCUUAACUCCGAAACUGCAUUCGAUACUGCGGUGCUUGAGGACUGGAGAGGAGACUGGAAUUCAUGGUGUAGCAGUGAAAUGCGUAGAGAUCAUGAGGAAGACCAGUGGCGAAGGCGGGUCUCUGGACAGUUCCUGACACUGAGGCACGAAGGCCAGGGGAGCAAACGGG
rnacentral:rRNA from 1 species